rnacentral:rRNA from 1 species
UAAGGAAUAUUGGUCAAUGGACGCAAGUCUGAACCAGCCAUGCCGCGUGAAGGAUGAAGGUCCUCUGGAUUGUAAACUUCUUUUAUCUGGGACGAAAACGGGAUUUUUAUCUCAAUUGACGGUACCAGAGGAAUAAGCACCGGCUAACUCCGUGCCAGCAGCCGCGGUAAUACGGAGGGUGCGAGCGUUAUCCGGAUUUACUGGGUUUAAAGGGUGCGUAGGUGGGCUUAUAAGUCAGUGGUGAAAUCCUACAGCUUAACUGUAGAACUGCCUUUGAUACUUUUAUUCUUGAGUUCGGGAGAGAGACGGAAUUCCAGGUGUAGUGGUGAAAUACGUAGAUAUCUGGAAGAACACCAGUUGCGAAGGCGGUCUCUUGGUCCGACACUGACGCUGAGGCGCGAAAGCGUGGGGAGCAAACA